GGUCAGCCCCGGCCAACAGCUACCCGCGGACGGCUGGACGCCGGCGUCCGGCGUCACGUUCGCCGACGACGAGGAGGACAACGCCAAGUGGUUCCAGCUGGAGGAGCUGUGCAUGGAGUGGCUGAGAGAGAGCACCGCGCCGUUCCGACCCACCAUCCAGUGCAUGACGGACAAGACCAACAACGCGGCCAGCCCGUGGGUUUGCGCCGCAGAGCCGGUCCAGGUGCAGCUGGUGCUGCGCAACCCGCUGCGCGUGCCGCUGCAG